rnacentral:rRNA from 1 species
CCUACGGGUGGCUGCAGUGGGGAAUAUUGGACAAUGGGCGAAAGCCUGAUCCAGCCAUGCCGCGUGUGUGAAGAAGGCCUUCGGGUUGUAAAGCACUUUCAGUGGGGAAGAAAGCCUUGGGGCUAAUACCCUCGAGGAAGGACAUCACCCACAGAAGAAGCACCGGCUAACUCCGUGCCAGCAGCCGCGGUAAUACGGAGGGUGCGAGCGUUAAUCGGAAUUACUGGGCGUAAAGCGCGCGUAGGCGGUCUGAUAAGCCGGUUGUGAAAGCCCCGGGCUCAACCUGGGAACGGCAUCCGGAACUGUCAGGCUAGAGUGCAGGAGAGGAAGGUAGAAUUCCCGGUGUAGCGGUGAGAUGCGUAGAGAUCGGGAGGAAUACCAGUGGCGAAGGCGGCCUUCUGGACUGACACUGACGCUGAGGUGCGAAAGCGUGGGUAGCAAACAGGAUUAGAUACCCGGUAGUC